rnacentral:rRNA from 1 species
UACGUAGGGUGCGAGCGUUAUUCGGAAUUACUGGGCGUAAAGCGCACGUAGGCGGCUUUGUAAGUUAGAGGUGAAAGCCCGGGGCUCAACCCCGGAAUUGCCUUUAAGACUGCAUCGCUUGAAUCCGGGAGAGGUGAGUGGAAUUCCGAGUGUAGAGGUGAAAUUCGUAGAUAUUCGGAAGAACACCAGUGGCGAAGGCGGCUCACUGGACCGGUAUUGACGCUGAGGUGCGAAAGCGUGGGGAGCAAACAGG